rnacentral:lncRNA from 1 species
AUGUCUUCCAGGACCGGCUCGGGCCAGUGCUCCUGCCAGGCUGCUGGCUUCCCUCUGCCCGCGCGGCCUCCACUGGCUGGCCUUCUCGGACCUCACAUUGGUUUACGGAUGUGCGGGGUGGGCUCCGUGGCCCUUUCUGAUUUUCUGCCUGGACAAAAUAGAUGUCCUGCUGCGAGGAGCUUCAUGAAAUCGAGACUUGCUACACUCUACCUGCUCCUUUGGCUUUCCCACCCCAGUAGGAUGUGGGUUCUGUCUGGUGCAGGAGAAAGAUUUUCAGGGGUUAUUGAUUUUUCAUUUUGCUGGAACUAUCUUCUCAAGUGCUUUGGCUGGGAACUUGCCCUCUGGCUGUCCCUUGACUUUGUCCGCUGCUUAUCCCUCUCCCAAGAGUCUUAUUUGGUCCUCCUCUCCUUUCUCCUUAUAUUGGGGGUCCUCACCUACACUGCUGAGACCAAUGAAUCCCUGGGCCCGAGGCACUUUUGAUCAGGAAGCAGAACCAAGUGCAGUUUGGGGCUCAGAAUCUACUGACAAAGCUGGGUUUCGAUCCUUUUUCUGCCACUUACUAGCUGAGUUACCUGGGGGUGGGUCUUUGGUCAUUCUGAGACUGGUUCAUUUGUAAGGCAAGUAAAACCCUGAGUUUAGUGGGCUGGAGGCAUGCUAUGAAUGUGCAGUGAGAUGGGAGUUCAGUGGGUGUGCUCUGUGGUGACACAUGUGAUUGCCAGGGUUUCAAGUCCCUAAGUUCUCAGGCACAGCAUCAAGCACUUUGCAUUUAUUUCUCAGGCAUAAUCCCAUGAGAGGUUAUUUCUGCCCUCAUGUUGUAGAGGAAGGAAACAGAGGCCACAAGUGGUUGGGUAACUUACCCAGCUCCUGUUCCAAUGGAUGACUGCUUUGGGCUUAAGUCAUUUUUUUUUUUUUUUUUUUUUGAGAGAGAGAGAGAGAACAUGUGAAUGGAGGAGGGACAGAGGGACAAGGAGAGAGAGAAUCUUAAGCAAGCUCCAUGCCCAGUGCUGAGCACUACAGGGGCUUGAUCUCACAACACUGAAGUCAUGACCUCACCCAAAAUGAGUCAGAUGCUUAACCGACUGAGCCACC